GGUCAGCAGCCGCGGUAAUACCGGCAGCACGAGUGAUGACCGCUAUUAUUGGGCCUAAAGCGUCCGUAGCUGGCCGUGCAAGUCCAUCGGGCAAUCCGCGCGCUUAACGCGCGGGCGUCCGGUGGAAACUGCAUGGCUUGGGACCGGAAGACCAGAGGGGUACGUCCGGGGUAGGAGUGAAAUCCCGUAAUCCUGGACGGACCACCGGUGGCGAAAGCGCCUCUGGAAGACGCAUCCGACGGUGAGGGACGAAAGCUCGGGUCACGAACCGG
rnacentral:rRNA from 1 species